ensembl:lncRNA
AUAGUAUAGAAACAGCACUGUUCUUCCUGAUUAUUAUUUACAUCUGGAUAAUCUCUGAGUUUCCUCCGUGUAGGCUUUUUACGCACAGCAGAAACGCGUGGAUUAAUACAAAUACUAAACUAGUUGGGGGAACAGAGAACGUGAAAAUGGACGAGAAGCCUCAAGUGGAGAGAUAUCAGAGAGAGAGAGAGAGAGAGAGAGAGAGAGAGAAUGGACCAGUCUGGAGAGGCUGAGAACAAUGCUGCUGCAGUGGCCACAACAUCAGCUCUGGAACGGAUGCUGUUUUACUUCCUGUGGGGAAG